GCAGCUGCCAUCAGUUCAGCUCCAACACAAGCCAUGAUCUCUGCAUCUCUGUUGCUGCUGCUGGCAGCCUCAUAUGUGAGGAGUGAUGUUGUUCUUACUCAACCGAGUUCGAUAAUAACACAGCAUGGGCAGUCAAUCGGUCUGACCUGCAACGUAAAGUAUUCAUUGUCCAGCUGCUGUUAUUACACACACUGGAUUCGGCAGCCCGCAGGGAAAGCACUGGAAUGGGUUGCAGGCAUUGACUAUGAUGGGGACACAUAUUACAGUGAUAAACUGAAAAACAAGUUCAGCAUCUCCAGAGACACCUCCAGCAGCACUGUGACUCUACAGGGCCAGAAUCUCCAGGCUGGAGACACAGCUGUGUAUUACUGCGCCCGAGAGGCACUGUGA